UGCCUACGGGGGGCUGCAGUGGGGAAUAUUGGACAAUGGGCGCAAGCCUGAUCCAGCCAUGCCGCGUGAGUGAUGAAGGCCCUAGGGUUGUAAAGCUCUUUCACCGGUGAAGAUAAUGACGGUAACCGGAGAAGAAGCCCCGGCUAACUUCGUGCCAGCAGCCGCGGUAAUACGAAGGGGGCUAGCGUUGUUCGGAAUUACUGGGCGUAAAGCGCACGUAGGCGGACAUUUAAGUCAGGGGUGAAAUCCCGGGGCUCAACCCCGGAACUGCCUUUGAUACUGGGUGUCUCGAGUCCGGAAGAGGUGAGUGGAAUUCCGAGUGUAGAGGUGAAAUUCGUAGAUAUUCGGAGGAACACCAGUGGCGAAGGCGGCUCACUGGUCCGGUACUGACGCUGAGGUGCGAAAGCGUGGGGAGCAAACAGGAUUAGAUACCCCGGUAGUC
rnacentral:rRNA from 1 species